rnacentral:rRNA from 1 species
UCGCGGUGGCGGAGCGUCGUUUGCGACGCCCAACACACAAAACAAGCGGUGAGUGCUUUGGGGUGGGGUGACUGCGUACCUUUUGUAUAAUGGGUCAGCGACUUAUAUUCUGUAGCAAGGUUAACCGUAUAGGGGAGCCGCAGGGAAACCGAGUCUUAACCGGGCGUUAAGUUGCAGGGUAUAGACCCGAAACCCGGUGAUCUAGCCAUGGGCAGGUUGAAGGUUGGGUAACACUAACUGGAGGACCGAACCGACUAAUGUUGAAAAA